UACGUAGGUGGCAAGCGUUGUCCGGAAUUAUUGGGCGUAAAGCGCGCGCAGGCGGUCCUUUAAGUCUGAUGUGAAAGCCCACGGCUCAACCGUGGAGGGUCAUUGGAAACUGGGGGACUUGAGUGCAGAAGAGGAAAGCGGAAUUCCACGUGUAGCGGUGAAAUGCGUAGAGAUGUGGAGGAACACCAGUGGCGAAGGCGGCUCACUGGACCGGUUCUGACGCUGAGGCGCGAAAGCGUGGGGAGCAAACGGG
rnacentral:rRNA from 1 species